UAUUGCAUAAUAUACAAGAGAAAAAUACUUUCAGUUUACCAGAAGAGUCCCAGAAAAUUGCUCUUCUGAAACUAGUAUUUUCCUUUAUUAACUUUAAUAAGUGACUAGAUUUAAAUUUAGUGACCAUAGAAUGGUCAAAGGAUUGGAAUAGGCUCAACAGUCUAGUAAUACACUAAGAUUAUUUUCAUGUAAUACCUCACGCUCAUCCUAAUAAGUGGCAGCACAGUGGGAGGUGAGUGGUAUAGCUGGCCUUUAAGAGACUGAGUUUAAAUUCUUCUUAUCUUAUGAUUUUGGAAGAGUUACUUGAAUCUCUGUUCUUUCAUGUCAGCUUUUCUACAAGGAUUAGACACAAAAAGGUAUACAGUAGGAAGUCUACAGCUGGGAGUCAUCUUUAUCUCCAAUUAAAUUGUGCCAAAAAUAAUUGAUAUGUCUGAGAACUCUUGGGUCCUGUCUCUAUCGUGAAAGGCUGGCACACACGCAUACCUGAUAUAUGUCUGGGACCUGGGUGCCCUAGAGAAACAGCCAGAGGAGUUGGUUUAUUCUAAUCCAGAAUUCCCCAGUCCCAUCCUGCAGUCGACAGUGGUCUCCCUGAAAGAAGACCUUGACCUUCACACAUGAGAUGUGUUCUGGCUAUUCAUGCUCUGUCAUCAAACAGGUACUAUUCAGCAGCCAAAACUCGCAGAAAAGAAAAGGUAUGUAUAAGGGAGAUGGCAAUAGACUGGGAGGGUGUAUCAAUCAAUUCUCUCCAUCCCAUGAUUUGGGCUGAUGGGACAUAGCCUCCCAAACAAGGAGCCCAAACAUUAGUCAACUUCUAGCUUUUGACAUUUCUCAUGCUACUAGGAAAGAAGAAUUCCUUAACCUUCAGCAAAUGCCCCUCAUAGGCAAGUAUCUUUGUCUUUAGGGCACACCCAGAACAAAUUCUGACACGUUUUACCAACCAAGCCCUGGCCUUUAACUAUUAGGAAAAGAGCAGGCCUGGGAUGAGGGUCACUAGCAUUUACCUUGUUCCCUGUGCCAGUCAUAGAACCUCGGCCCUUCCUACAAUAGACCUCUGUUCUCCAAAGUCCCCAUUCAUUCAAUAUGAAAUUAUUGAGUACUUUCCACAUUAUAAUACUCUUAUUUAUUGAUUGCUCAGUAUGAAUUCGGGCAUAGUACUAAGCACUAUUAUAAACAUACUAUCUUAGGUUCCCAACAAUUGUGUGACUUAUUUAUGUUUUCCAUUUCAUAUCUAAAGGAACUAAGGCCCAGAGGAAUUAAACAACUUACCCCAAAUUCAACUUGACGUAUGGUUUGCUCACCACUAUUCUAAGCCUAAACAGAAAAAAUGAGGACACAUUUGUCCUCCAAGAGCCUAGAGUCCAAUAGGGGAGACACACUUGUAUACAACUGACAUCAAAAUUAGUUGGCAAAUGCUGUCAAGGAUGUCCAUACAAACUGCUUUUUUUUUUUUAUUAUGAGUCUCUUAUGUCAGCUACUGACACUUGAUAAUAUAGCAUUGUAUUCAUACACUGCAUAAUGCACAGACAUUGUAAACAGAUCUAUAGUAAUUUGGCAUGAGAAUAUAUCUGGGCCUUGACAGCAACUGGAACUUUAAGCCUUUUGUUAUGAGAAUGUGUGUAUGUAUAUUACAAAAGAAUGCCUGGUCAGGCCUGAUAGAAUAAUGUCCCAGGUGAAAGGUAACCUGCAGGACACAAACAGUAAUUGCCUCGGUCUAAAAUGAAUGAUGACUAGAAAUGCUCUUCUCUAGCAGGUAAGAAAUCUAUAAGGUGGCCCACAGAGCAAGGAGAACAGAGCCUUCAGUGGACCCAGAGGCCCAAGCUUCCUGGGUCAGGGGACUUCACAAGUUUCAUGUUCUGAAGUCCUAACAGGCUUUCUUACUGUCCUGGCUUUGAUGGGUUCCUAGCAAGGAAGGCUCACUCUGAGAUGUGAUUAUGGUCACAGGACAAAAAAAUAGCCUUGGGCUUCCAUUCUAACUUGGCAUGCAGUCUUUGUCACUGAGAUAAAUGCAUAUUUCUUCCACCCCCACCUCUACACUGAAGGAGGAUUACUCAUUCAUGGAACAAUAAAUAAAAGGAGCCUACAGCCAUAGGGGGAGAAAAGGCAAAGGCAAGAAAUUAGCAAGUUGACCAUGAGUGGACAAGAACAUAAAAUCGGAGGGUCACUUUUAAAGCUCAGUCCCUUGCCACUUCCCCUAUCAAUGCCCCUGAUUUUCAGUCUUCUGGCCACAGUUAGAAUCAGUCACUCACACCUCUGUUCCCUCAGAGCACUCUUUACUUCUAUUACAACAUUUCUUCUACUUCAUCUUGUAAUAUAGCCUCUCUCAUUGGACUAAGAGCUCCACAAGGGUAGUAAAUGGGUGAUGUAAAUCUUAAUAAUCUCAGUUUCCCAUGUAUAGGAGACAGCAAUGUGUAGCAGAAGACAACAUCAAAGUUACACCUGCCUUGAGAGGACAUCCUUGACAACGGAGGGAUGGAAGAGCCCAGGAUGGAAAAGAGAGCCAUAGAGAUCUCCCCAGGACCCAGACUGUUCCCAGGCAGCAGUGUCACUAAGGUGACCAAAGGAACUACAUGCUGUUCAACAACUUAUAAGACCUCAGAAGGCGUCUUCAAGGGUCCUUGGCACUUCUGAGUUCCAGAGUCAGCAUGAAUAGCCUUGGGAGAGGCAUGAAGGGGUGUGGCACAGGAAAAUCUCAAAGGCAGAUAUAGAAAUAACCAGGAAGAAGAGGGCCUGUUUACAAAUUGCUAUACCUAAUGGAAACUGUCCCUGUGGCCUGGACCCACCCCCUGGCUGCAGCUGCCAUGUGAUGAUUGCUCUGAACUUCCUACCUGUUCAGCUACUGACUGCCUGUGGAAUGAGCAAGCUAUGGACUUAAUCUGCAUAGGAUUUUGAACCUAGCUGAAUCCUCCAGUUUGAGGAUUAUCAUGAUUUUAUUGCUGUUGCUAUUGUAUAUUAGUCUGGUUACAGUGCUCCAGUUUUCUCACACAGGGGCCAUUGUGGAAGAUGAGGAACAAAUAGACUAUAAAGUGAGAUCUCUGGAUGGGCAGGCUGUGGGUAAAAUUGUAAUAUUUCCAGAAUCUCUCACCUGGCCUUAGUGUAUCUCCAUAUCAAUAGGUGUUUCCAAGGGAUAGAGAGUAGUCCAUCUCUGUAUCAAUAGGUAAUUACAAGGUUGAGGGAGGGCAUAUCUGUACCUGAGAGGUUGGGUGGGGUCCCUUCUUUUGCAGCCGGGUCAUGAGAGACACGGGAGA